AUUGAACGCUGGCGGCAGGCCUAACACAUGCAAGUCGAACGAGUGGCGGACGGGUGAGUAAUGUCUGGGAAACUGCCUGAUGGAGGGGGCUAACUACUGGAAAAGGUAGCUAAUACCGCAUACCAUCGGAUGUGCCCAGAUGGGAUUGGCUAGUAGGUGGGGGACAGGCUCACCUAGGCGACGAUCCCUAGCUGGUAUGAGAGGAUGACCAGGCACACGGGAAGAUCGACACGGUCCAGAGUCCUACGUGAGGCAGCAGGGGCGAAUAUUGGAUAAUGGGGGAAAGCCGGAUGCAGCAAUGCCGCGUGUAUGAAGAAGGCAUUCGGGUUGUAAAGUACUUGCAGCGGGGAGGCGUUACCCGUAGAAGAAGCACCGGCUAACUCCGUGCCAGCAGACGCGGUAAUUC
rnacentral:rRNA from 1 species